rnacentral:rRNA from 1 species
AGAGUUUGAUCAUGGCUCAGAUUGAACGCUGGCGGCAGGCCUAACACAUGCAAGUCGAACGGUAACAGGAAACAGCUUGCUGUUUCGCUGACGAGUGGCGGACGGGUGAGUAAUGUCUGGGAAACUGCCUGAUGGAGGGGGAUAACUACUGGAAACGGUAGCUAAUACCGCAUAACGUCGCAAGACCAAAGAGGGGGACCUUCGGGCCUCUUGCCAUCGGAUGUGCCCAGAUGGGAUUAGCUAGUAGGUGGGGUAACGGCGUCACCUAGGCGACGAUCCCUAGCUGGUCUGAGAGGAUGACCAGCCACACUGGAACUGAGACACGGUCCAGACUCCUACGGGAGGCAGCAGUGGGGAAUAUUGCACAAUGGGCGCAAGCCUGAUGCAGCCAUGCCGCGUGUAUGAAGAAGGCCUUCGGGUUGUAAAGUACUUUCAGCGGGGAGGAAGGGAGUAAAGUUAAUACCUUUGCUCAUUGACGUUACCCGCAGAAGAAGCACCGGCUAACUCCGUGCCAGCAGCCGCGGUAAUACGGAGGGUGCAAGCGUUAAUCGGAAUUACUGGGCGUAAAGCGCACGCAGGCGGUUUGUUAAGUCAGAUGUGAAAUCCCCGGGCUCAACCUGGGAACUGCAUCUGAUACUGGCAAGCUUGAGUCUCGUAGAGGGGGGUAGAAUUCCAGGUGUAGCGGUGAAAUGCGUAGAGAUCUGGAGGAAUACCGGUGGCGAAGGCGGCCCCCUGGACGAAGACUGACGCUCAGGUGCGAAAGCGUGGGGAGCAAACAGGAUUAGAUACCCUGGUAGUCCACGCCGUAAACGAUGUCGACUUGGAGGUUGUGCCCUUGAGGCGUGGCUUCCGGAGCUAACGCGUUAAGUCGACCGCCUGGGGAGUACGGCCGCAAGGUUAAAACUCAAAUGAAUUGACGGGGGCCCGCACAAGCGGUGGAGCAUGUGGUUUAAUUCGAUGCAACGCGAAGAACCUUACCUGGUCUUGACAUCCACGGAAGUUUUCAGAGAUGAGAAUGUGCCUUCGGGAACCGUGAGACAGGUGCUGCAUGGCUGUCGUCAGCUCGUGUUGUGAAAUGUUGGGUUAAGUCCCGCAACGAGCGCAACCCUUAUCCUUUGUUGCCAGCGGUCCGGCCGGGAACUCAAAGGAGACUGCCAGUGAUAAACUGGAGGAAGGUGGGGAUGACGUCAAGUCAUCAUGGCCCUUACGACCAGGGCUACACACGUGCUACAAUGGCGCAUACAAAGAGAAGCGACCUCGCGAGAGCAAGCGGACCUCAUAAAGUGCGUCGUAGUCCGGAUUGGAGUCUGCAACUCGACUCCAUGAAGUCGGAAUCGCUAGUAAUCGUGGAUCAGAAUGCCACGGUGAAUACGUUCCCGGGCCUUGUACACACCGCCCGUCACACCAUGGGAGUGGGUUGCAAAAGAAGUAGGUAGCUUAACCUUCGGGAGGGCGCUUACCACUUUGUGAUUCAUGACUGGGGUGAAGUCGUAACAAGGUAACCGUAGGGGAACCUGCGGUUG